rnacentral:sRNA from 1 species
CCAAGGCGUGUGCCGAUUGCACAGUGGCUCAGCUUUGAACAUUUCAACGGCUCAGGAGGAACCAUGGAAAAUUCUCUCAACAAUGGAUACUUAAUUUCAUCCUCCAUGCAGUUCGCACAAGUUCUCGCCAAUGAUAUGCCGCAUGCCAUCCAAGACGGUGUCUCCGACGGCUGGCCGUGGGAAAUGCCACUAGCAAAUACGUAAAGAGAUCCGCUAUCACGAGCUAUAUCCAUCAGGUCUCGAACGGGGAAAUUACUCAAGGGAACAGAACCCUCUCGAGAUUUCAAUGCUGGCUGAUAUAGACUGGGCACCGUGGAUCAACCCUGUAAUGCAGCUACCUGUGGAAGUUUUGGGCCUCAAGGCCUC